AGCGCAAUGGUUCCUUUCACCCCAGACAAAGACCUUUUCUAGAUCUGCAAAAAUAUGCAUUUCAAUAGCACUUGCUCCUCGCUCCAAUAGUAGACCCUGCUAUCUUCCUGCACUCCCGCAAGCACUUCUUCCCUUUCUUCCUCUUGGACACAAUGUAGCUGUUCUAUGAAGGUAGAGUGAUUCCUUGACCCACAGGUGAAAGGAUACUCAGAACAUUAACGACUAAAGAGAGAUUUAGGACACCAAAGAAGAUGUUUGUUCUGUGGUUUCAUGCUGAGGUCAGAUGAACUAAAGGUACUUUUCACCUGGUUGUCACAGGGACUUCAGACAACUAGGAAAGAAAAGCAGGCACCAGAUCACAAACAAGACUGGUCUUUCUCCCAUCAGAAGGCUGGAAGAUGGCUCCAAUGCUGUAGGAGUUUUAUUCCUGAAAUUCAGACCAAACUCUUGUCAAUGUCCCAUGCUGCUGUGCUCCUGUGAUGUAAAAGCCUUGGGGAGGCAAAGAGCAGGAACUGGUUGCUGAGGAUGGUUUGGCUCUUCUGUGAAGCCACUGCCGUCAGGUCAUGCGGUGUUGGUCAAGAAAGCCUGUCAU
rnacentral:lncRNA from 1 species